UACAUAGGGGGCAAGCGUUAUCCGGAAUUAUUGGGUGUAAAGGGUGCGUAGACGGAGAAACAAGUUGGUUGUGAAAUCCCUCGGCUCAACCGAGGAACUGCAACCAAGACUAUUUCCCUUGAGUGUCGGAGAGGAAAGUGGAAUUCCUAGUGUAGCGGUGAAAUGCGUAGAUAUUAGGAGGAACACCAGUGGCGAAGGCGACUUUCUGGACGAUAACUGACGUUGAGGCACGAAAGUGUGGGGAGCAAACAGG
rnacentral:rRNA from 1 species